GUAUUUUUCGAAGUGAAAAAUAUCGGUGUUCGUUGGGACUGAGAAGUGAAAACAAUUAAAAAUUGGCAGGCAUUGGCUCGUGUGUGUGCAAAAGGAAGCCUCCAGGAGGACAUUCAACAGACCUCCUAGUGGAAACAUGCAAGGAAUGGAUAAGCCCAUUGGCUAAGUAAGACAUCCAGGAUUCUCUUUCAUAAGCAAGCGGGCCAAUAUUUUGUUGCAGCUGCGAGCCAUUUCCAUUUUCAAUUGAAGGACAAAUGACUGCGCAUGUGCAGGUCGUAAAUAAAAUCAACAGCAACGGCAAUUUGCGAAUUGGCGGCACUUGUUUUUAUUUUUAGGUAAGAAAAGCUAAGCCAAGCUAUCUAAGCCAAGCCAACCAGCCGCCAAACAAACACCUUUUUUGUUUUGCCAAUAAAGAGAGCUCUGCGUUUUCGAAGCCUCAAGUAAGGCGGCACAGCAUCAGCGAAAAACAAUUGGAGGCAGUUGCAACCAAAUUAAGACUUUACGACCAAUAGCCAGCUGCGUCGUCACCGCAAUCAGCGCCAACGGCCAGGGGCAAGAAUGAAUAUGUAUGUGUCCUGGUCGAUAGUGAAACUAUCUAGAGAAAAUGGAGCGCGAUUACAAUUCCUUGGACUUAUUUUUCACAUCCCUGCGAAACAUUGAAGUUAUAACAAGAAUCUAAGUUAUGAGAGCCGCUAAAAACAGUGCAAAGAAGAGGAAACUCCUGGAAAACAAUGAUUGGCUCCAGGCAGGAUAACUGUUUCAUAUCUAUAGAGAGGUAUUAGGUUUGGGCAAGCUGAAAAAUAUAACAGGCGAAAGAAGGCGUGGCAGAUGGGUCGAUCUACUAUGUCUGUUCUUACAGACCAUAAGAGAUAGAGCCACCAUAAAAGCUCGACUAAAAACAAAUCCUAAAAAGGAGACAACUUCGGACGAAAAUGCAAUGAGUUAAUUUUUUGGAGUAGACUGUGUUAUCGAAGACGAGAUAGUAUUUGCAUUAUUCCGUUUACGGGUGAAUUCGUGAGCCACACAUGAUUUGGUCAGAUAACAGGGUAACGAUGUUGAAUGACGAAAUUUUACGCAUAUACUUACGUAUCUAAUUACUGAGAAUGAUCUUUAAUUGCAUUGCAAUAUGACAUUUCUCUACUAUUUGAGCUUCUCUCCAGCUAUCCUGGGCAUUUUUCCUGAAAUCUUGGUUUUGUUUCUUGUGGUGUUGGGGUGGUGUUAGUGUGGGUCCUGGUAUAGGUUCUUGUUGAGCUGUUAGUUGUGCUGGUGUUGGUUUCAUGACCUCGUUUUAUUUGCUCAUCAUAUUUUUUCGAGGGCCACUUGGUUUCUGAGUGGCGUUUCAUACUGGUUUUACUCGGGUAUAAAUGGCGUCUGCAAGCACUCCAAAAUUUGUUUGUUAUUUCCAAGCUAUUGUCGUUAUUUUUUCGUUGAAAAGUAAAGAAAAGUUAAGACGUAGAUCUAUUUAAGGAGUGUAGACAACCAACAACAACUGGCACAACCGCCACAGCAAACAAAGAAUAGUGGCUACAAGCAUACACUUCCUGGCUAACCAGGAGUUUCUUCGGCUGGGAUAUACCAUUUUGCAUUGGCUGCAAACGCCAUUUAUAUCAUCCGACCAAAACCAGUAUAAAACGCCAUUCGGCAACGCAGCGGCAUCACAAAAAAUAUGACCAGCAUUUCAAACAAGGUCAUGAAACCAACACCAGCACCAACAGAACCACAAAAACCAACACCAGGACCAAAACCAACACCACCAAGACCAACACCACACCGAAUACGGCCAGGAUUUCAGGAAAAAUGGCUAAGAAAUGCCAUAUUGCGCUGCUUGAGCAUAAGAAGAGGUCAUUCUCAUUUCCUGUUUCCAUUUCGGACAAUAUAUUUCUGGCCACGUAUUUGCCCGUAAAAGUAAUGCAAAUGCUAUCGGUCUCCUCCAAAAAACUAAAUCAUUCCAUUUUCGUUCGAAAUUGUCUCCUUUUGAGGAUUUGUUUUUAGUCGAGCUUAUAUGGUAUCUCUAUCUCUUAUGGUCUCUGAGAUCUAGGUGAUCAUACGGAC